CUCACAUUGGCAGAAUUGACCAUUAAUUAUGAUGACCACAGGUGGCAAUCCACAUGUAUCUUAGCUUUCUCUGGAAAAUGUGCAGCAUAAAAGCUAUUAGAACCAAGGUAAAAGCAAAUUCUCUGGUGGAAGGAAAAGGAGGAAAAUAUCACAAAUUUGACAGUAAUAUGCACUCUUUAAUUUAGAACUCAGAACACCAGGAAAAUAAUCAGACAAGCAUGGGCAUUCCGGAUUGUGGUGCUCUGCGUCCAGAACCCAGUACUCUCUUCUGGAGUUGUGGCCCAGUCUCUCUCUGCCAGUGAUGACAAAACAGGAAAACGGCCAAGUACACACCAGGAAGAAGGCCCUCAUUAGAUCUACUGGCACUUUGAUCUUGGACUUCCCAGGUCUCAAACCCAUGAAAAAUAAAUUCCUGCUGUUUAAGCCUUCCAGCAUAUGCUGUUCUAUAAUAGCAGCCCAAAUUGACUAAGGCAGAUAUGAAAUGCAUUGCUUUUGUUACAGUUAAUUCUUGAUGAAUCUAGCAACUGAGACUUCCCUUGAUGGUGUUUUUACUAAACUUAACUAAUUUUAUUGACAUUGAAUGACUUAAGCAAAGCUACAUCAGAUACCAUGUAAAAGUAAGACUACUUUAUUUCUCACGGGUAAGAGGAAGUAAGAUUCUUCCUGUAAUCAAAAGAAGAAUCAAACUCCAAAUGAUAAAGAGUGUCACUCUAUUUAUGGACAGUAAGCCAGACAUAGGCCCAGUGACACUCUUUUCUUCAGAUCAGUACAGGAGAUGUUUAAUCAUAAAAGUAUCAUUCCUAUUUUAUGAAUGAAAAGAUUGAGGGUCAAGACAAUUGCAUAAUUUCUGCAAGAUCAAACCAGAAAUUAUAGUAAGGAAGGGAGAGGUUCAAGUGCAAUGAAUUCUACAGAGAAAGGCUACUCUAACAACUCUCUUUUAAGGCUGGGCCUGGUAGUUUGCUGAGACACAAGACUUCCAAGCAACAGAGGACGGUCCCUGUGAAAAACAGACAUGGAGCAUCCUGUUUAGAGACAUGCAAAGCAUGACAAGAAGUGUAGACUUUAUUAAAAGAAAAAUGGUUGACUGCUGAAUGUAUUAAGCCAGGAAGGCCAUGACUUGAAUUUGAGGCCAUUCUGUCGUGUCACAUCUAGCACACUACUGCACACAUGGCCCUUUAAAACAUUGCCUGGAACAAAAUGAGAUUUACAGAAAGAAAAGCAAUAAGUACUCCAUCUCAGAGACAUUCUUAGGAGAAUCAAUCCUCAGAUGAACAUAUAUCUCUGCUGUCUGGGACAUUCUGACUCUUUGGAAUUUUUACGAUUCAUUUUUCUUCAGCUUUGUGGAUUUCAAACCAACAAAUCAUCAUCCUCCACCACCAAAAAAAAUGCAACAAUGACAAAUACUUCCUAAGUGUUAUGAGUUUCCUUUCCUGCAAUAGAUAAUUGUCUUUAUUUUCAGUUCUAAUUAAAACCCCACUCAUAUGUUGUCCAAUGCUGUUCUCACAUUUGAGUUUAUGAUUUAAAUUUCAGGGUUCAAGACAACACUCAGGGUACCUUUCACACCAUUGUGAUUUUAUCAGAUAUAAGCCUGCAUUUCAUCUGAAUCAGCUCCUGCAGUGCGAAGAGUCACAAGCAUCAUUUGGGGUCACCCUAGAGAGAGGCUACUUGUGCUCACAGCAGUCUAAGAGAACACAUUGUCCUUCUGUGUCAGAAUCUGGAUUGUCUUCUGAAUACUCAAAAGCACUGGGUACAUUUGAAUUCUCACAUCUUUUGAAUUAAUGUGGCCAGGAACUCGUUUGUACAACAAACAAUUUUCCUCCUCACUUAGAUACUUCAAGUAUGUCUGAAACUGAAAAACUGUGGGAAAAUGAGAAAAUUCAUCUGAAAUUUCAGAUAAUCUGUCUGGAAUAGCAGCGGUGAUUGUGAUGGCAAUGAAAUUCUUGGGAAGAAUACUUUUCCUGGGUGAUUCUUAUCACACUUUCAGAUCACAGUACAAUUAAUGGAAUAAAAUGACUUAACCAUCUGGGUAUCCAGAGGAAACCAUUUCUAGUUCCUUUCCUGCUUGCACAAUGAGUUAGAUUGUUAGACAAUUUUCUUUAAUUUUACUUCAGCUGUAAAUUUCUGUUCAAAUACUCGGGGAAACAAAGCAUAUGCAAGCAGACAAACCUCGCAGUUAAUGAAACGCCUCUGUGAGGAUUACAAUCGAUAACAGUAUAAUCUAUGUUUAUAAAUAAGAGUAGGGCUUCAGAAGAGUGUUGGGCAGUGAUGAAUUAUUCAAGAAGUCUGCUUUGUUGUUGCAGUUACCUCCAUGCUAAAAGCUCUUCAGUGACAGAAACUCCUAGCUUAGGACCUUCUUUUUCCAGUCUCCUUUGUACAACUCAACUCUCUUCCUCCUAGAGACCACGGCUCCUGCAGCUUAUCUGAGAGGAGCCUCCAGAGAGAGCCACUGAAGUCCAAGAGGGCUAAAUCACUUUCUGCCCAUCACAGAACCACACGCAGAAUUAUUUAUUGCGCAGAAGCAGCGCUGCUGAAUGUUCCGCUGACAGUGUAUUGAAGACCAGCACCCAGCACUUUCCAGGGACUGUCAGGCAGGGUUAAUAUAAGGGCCACGAUGGCCUCCUCUGUUCAGCUUAGUGCUGUGCCCCACUUCUGAUGGAUCUGUCAACUAGAGCAAGGGGGCAAUAGAUAAUAGAAUGAACUAAACCCAUGAAAUUCCUGUAAUGUAUAGUUUGCUUUCACUACAAGGUUCAGCAUAUUAGUGCAAAAAUCAAUAAGGACAAUACCUGGCCUUGGUAAAGACUGUAUCAUAUUGCUCUCAAGUACAUGAAGUCAAAUUCACUGUUUCAUAGGGAGAAAAGUCACUCUUCAUCAAGCUUUCACUUAACCAUAGAAAGGUUUUUGAUGUGGCCUUCUAACUCAUUUGAUUUAAGUCAAUAUCUUUUUCUUUACAAGUGUUGACAUUCCCCUGUGGCAGGAAAAUCAACAUUUUGAGUCACUCACUUUAAAUAACAGACUGAGACCCAAAGAUUCAGCAUCUAUUCAUUUUAAAAUUGUUUCAAAAGCUUUUUAAAAAUGCUGAAGUUUUAAGUCCCAUCCCAUCUAAGUAAUCUCGAUAUUUUUCAUUUUAUUUGUGAUUUCACCAUAAGUCAUUACUGUGCUAUGAUCAAACUUAAAAGAGAUCUACUGUCUGGGGUUAUAUACAUAAUCCAAUACAUUAACAACACCAUUAUGACUAAUGUCUAGAGGGAUUUAGAGUUACCUGAAAUAGAAACUAAGCUUCCCCUAAUACACUCAAGAAACAAGAGAAAAGGAAAUACCUAAUUUUAGGAGAUUGAGGUCAUAUCCACACUACUUCACCAAAAAAUAAAUUACUUUUCAGCAAUAGAUAACAAAAUCUCAUAUGAAAAAUGACAAACAGAACUCUGGGAAAGAAGAAAUCAUUCUGAUAAAGGCAAUGAUAUUGUAGACAUCUUCUCUGGAAAAUCACUUGUGAUCCAACAGCAGGUAGAAAUCCAUAUUCAAAUUUAUGACAAGUGGUGACAAAAAUUUAUUUGUGCACCCUUCUUCUAAUGUAAGAUAUCUGAUUUGAAAGUUAUUUCAAUAUAUAAUCCCUUGCUAAGCCUCAGCAUCAUAUCACCAUCUUAUAUUGUUAAAGUUCGGGAACAUUGAUUCUAGAGGCUGAUACAAAAUGUUCAUAACCAUGGGGAAAUCAACAAGGAUGAAGAGGAAAUAUGGAGAGUGAAAUAGUUCUACACAAAGAAUACUAAAAAGAAAUGCAGUAGCUCAAAACAGGAAUAAAAAUACACGAGAUAAAUACCUUAAAAAGAUGACCAAUGGUCAACCUUUAUUUAAUGUUAAAAAUAUUAUCUCUGUCUUUAAGCAAUCAAUAUCUGUAAAUUUGAAGGACUCAACUUUCUUUAAAUCUCUACACCCUUUUAAAAAGUAAUCUUUGUGACAUAUUUUAUAAGUCCAGACUCAUUUUAGUCUUCCUAAAGAUGAACAACAGCUCUAGUAU